rnacentral:rRNA from 1 species
GAUGAACGCUGGCGGCGUGCCUAAUACAUGCAAGUCGAGCGAACAGACGAGGAGCUUGCUCCUCUGACGUUAGCGGCGGACGGGUGAGUAACACGUGGAUAACCUACCUAUAAGACUGGGAUAACUUCGGGAAACCGGAGCUAAUACCGGAUAAUAUAUUGAACCGCAUGGUUCAAUAGUGAAAGACGGUUUUGCUGUCACUUAUAGAUGGAUCCGCGCCGCAUUAGCUAGUUGGUAAGGUAACGGCUUACCAAGGCAACGAUGCGUAGCCGACCUGAGAGGGUGGUCGUCCACACUGGAACUGAGACACGGUCCAGACUCCUACGGGAGGCAGCAGUAGGGAAUCUUCCGCAAUGGGCGAAAGCCUGACGGAGCAACGCCGCGUGAGUGAUGAAGGUCUUCGGAUCGUAAAACUCUGUUAUUAGGGAAGAACAAAUGUGUAAGUAACUAUGCACGUCUUGACGGUACCUAAUCAGAAAGCCACGGCUAACUACGUG